GAUGAACGCUGGCGGCGUGCCUAAUACAUGCAAGUCGAGCGAACGGACGAGAAGCUUGCUCCUCUGAUGUGAGCGGCGGACGGGUGAGUAACACGUGGAUAACCUACCUAUAAGACUGGGAUAACUUCGGGAAACCGGAGCUAAUACCGGAUGAUAUUUUGAACCGCAUGGUUCAAAAGUGAAAGACGGUCUUGCUGUCACUUAUAGAUGGAUCCGGGCUUCAUUAGCUAUUUGGUAAGGUAACGGCUUACCAAGGCAACGAUGCAUAGCCGACCGGGGAGGGUGAUCGGCCACACUGGAACUGAGACACGGUCCAGACUCCUACGGGAGGCAGCGGUGGGGAAUCUUGGGCAAUGGGGGAAAGCCUGCCGGAGCAACGCCGGGUGAGUGAUGAAGGUCUUCGGAUCGUAAGACUCUGUUAUUAGGGAAGAACAGAUGUGUAAGUAACUGUGCACAUCUUGACGGUACCUAAUCAGAAAGCCACGGCUAACUACGUG
rnacentral:rRNA from 1 species